AAUCUGUCAAACUGGUGGCUCAAAUACAGAAAUACAGUCGCAGUGCAAUUGAAAUGGCUUCUGAUUUCUGUUGAGUUCUACGAUGGACACGAAUCAAAUGAGGGUAACAAGGUUAAACUUUAGCUGCCGUAUGAUGGACCCGUUCGUACAUCCGUUCCGUAUUUACAACACGUUAAUGCGGAUUUCGUUUGCGGUGCUUCGUGGAAUAUAACUGUCUCGAAUAGGAAAAUACCCUUAUGAAAGAUGUUGAGGUUCAACUCAACUCGUCAAGGAAGAUAAACAUUUAUAUUCAAAACAGUUUUGAGGAAAAAGAUCUAUUAGCAAGAGGAGAAAGCUCCAGCCAAUGAUGAUACGGCUGCAAAAGCUACACCAAAUAUUCAAACAGCAAAACGGAAUGCACAGCGUCGAGUUCACAGCAAUGUAACUAAAUCACCAAAUUUUGAAAAUAUCGUGGAGGAACUAUUUUUUCUGCAGGAAGUAACGCAAAUUAGUUUUUUCUAAGAAUCCAGAUUUUAUACAAGAAGUGGUUCGUUGGAUGUAACCGUUAUUUAGCAGGCGGGUUCGUAUAUCGUGUUGCUGAUGUUCCCAUAUAUACAGCACUGUCCUUCAAACGAACGCUGUCGUCGGGAAAUGAGUUUUUGCCAGUUCCGAAAAUGAUGCAAAGAAUCUCUGAACAAUGAAUGGAAGGCAAACCUAGGCAGCUUACAGAACCGCAAAAAGUGAACCAAUGGAAAGAGGUUAAUUCCAGCCACUGUCAAUUUCCAGAAAAAUGCACUGAUGUUAACCACUUACGGCCAAUUUCUUCACUGGAUGAAAACCGGUUUUCGCUGAAAACCAGUUUUCAGGUUUCUGGUGACCACUUAGCCGAAAACCGGUUUUCAACGAAAACCGGUUUUCAUCCAAGUGAAGAAAUUUGACGUUAACGUAGUCGUCUCUGGAUUCGAUUCCUUUGUGCCUUAUCGUUUGGCUAUCCCAUACGAGGAAAAGUGCCUGGGUGUUGUCAUUUGAGUUUGGCCAGCGCGAUUUUCAUUGAAUGUGCUUCGAGAAACAACGACAGAUCAAUGAAAGGCAUUUUCAGUGUCGAGUUGACGAGCAUGUACCUAAGCAGGUGUACGAUACCAACCAACUACAAUGGUACAUGGCUGGAAUAACUGGAUCAACCUGUUAAGGUAUUGCUAUACGAAAAUAUACAGAAGGUUGAGAAGCUGUCAUUGACAUUUUCGUAAAUAGUUACGUCUUCUAUACCUAAAUAUAAUGGAAGCUUCGGCCAGCAAAGAAAAACGUUUGCCAUCGUCGCGUAACGACAUCUGUGAAACCGUCAGUUCCAAUAUAGUGGAAAUCAGGAGCCAUAACUACAACGACGGCAAACCUAACAGCUACCAAGUGACAGUAGUAAUCGAUAAUUGACGAGAAAGCCCGAAUAAGCAUCACAACAAAAAGAAUUAUAACUAGUAGAGGGAGCAAAUCGCUGAUGUCUCCAUAUAUUUACAGACUAAAACUUGUGAUGUCGCUCCAUCACGUUGCAUCUCAUUACUUUGACAGGUCUAGCCGGCGCAAUAAAUGUAAAACUAAUAGGCUUAUUAUAUGAAGGAGCGAUGUGAUAAACCAUCAGUGCAACCAGUGGCAUGCGCCCUCUAGUAAUUAUAAUCUCUUAUCACAAUGCUGGCUAUGUUUGGAGCUAGGAAUUGUAUUUUGGUUCCAUCUAAUAAUAAGGGCCGUUCUUUGUUUGCUUGCUCUUUCGCUUUUUACGGCGUUACUAGUAAACUUUGAAAACUUUAUUCAGUAUAUAUCGAAAAAUGAUGGUUUCAACUAGCUAAUUAUGCAAUGUAUGGAAACGCAAAUGUAAAAUUGACCCAGUAAUUCCCAGCAGAGAAAGUAAAAAAAGAGAGGCUCUCUUUUGAUCAGACCUAUUGAAUACACUGAAGUCUUUUUUAUGCGUUUUUUAUGUGACUUUUUUUAUGCGGAUUUUCAAAGUUAUGCGGUUUUUUUAUGCGGAUUUUCAAAGUUAUGCGGUUUUUUUUAUGCGGAUUUUUUUAUGCGGUGCGUAUCCCCCGUAUAAAAAAAACUUCAGUGUAGUCUUCAUUCCACAAUUUUGCAGUAUACCAAGCCGUAUAGUUUGUGCCAUGUAAGGGUUUUGUGCCUGGUAUUUAUCAUGCAAUAAAAUUUUCUCGUAUAGUAUAGUAUAAUACGUAUAAACAUAGUGAACUAUUCAAUGUAAUCCCCAGGCAUUUCCCACAUUCAAUAAUACCAAUGGUUUUCAACCGGUGGUGAAUUAGACUAUCAAGCAAAAUACGGUGUUAAAUGGCAGUACUUUUCGAGCCCCAGCUUGAUCGGAAUGAUAUUUGAUGCGCUCUUUGUUUGCUUGGCUGAUCAGCUGUUCUUUAGAAAACUUGUGAAUAGCUGAUCAGCCAAGUAAACAAAAAGCGCAGCAAAUGUCAUUCUGGUUAAGCUGGGGCUCGGAAAGUACCACUAUGUAACGUAUGUAUGUAUCAAUAAAAUAAUAGUAACAAAUAGUUUUUUGUUCAUAAUAAACACGUGACUAUUGAAAGUACUGGGCACUUUUUGGACCUCAACAAAUGCAAACUAACAAUUUGAGUUUAUGGGGCCCAAAAUGGGAAUUUUUCAAAGGUGAGGGAAAAUAAGCUGAGUUUUGAUGAAAAUUUACAGUAUUUCAAAUAUAUUAAGAUUAUUGCGUUUGUUAGGAUCAGAUUGUGCACUUUAAAACAUGAAGUUGUCUGUAAUAUUUAAAAAAUACAUGUUUUAUUUGUGGUCGCUAAUACGCCAAACUUUUUUCGUGCCUGUAAGGCAGUUGCAAAUAAGUUACCACCAAUGGUUAGUGCCUCUAAGGUAGUGGCAAUUAUAUUGCUACCAACGUUUUGGACCUCUUUAACUUUAUUGCCACCAAGAUUAAUUAAUAUAA